rnacentral:rRNA from 1 species
GACGUAGGGCGCGAGCGUUGUCCGGAUUAUUGGGCGUAAAGAGCUCGUAGGCGGUCUGUCACGUCGGAAGUGAAAACCCGGGGCUUAACCCCGGGCUUGCUUUCGAUACGGGCAGACUAGAGUGUGGUAGGGGAGACUGGAAUUCCUGGUGUAGCGGUGAAAUGCGCAGAUAUCAGGAGGAACACCAAUGGCGAAGGCAGCUCGCUGGGACGUGACUGACGCUGAGACGCGAAAGCGUGGGGAGCGAACAGG